rnacentral:lncRNA from 10 species
AGUGUCAUAAUACACCAUGAGGUGGUUGGGUCCCAUUUCCAGAACAACCAGAGUGACGUCUGAACAAUGCUCUCUAAACAAGAUCUUCAUGUCUGCUCCCAAAGAGGGUUGCUACAUUCUUAGCUUCCCUCAAUUUAAUUCUUUUAUGAUAAAAAGAAGGAAGGAGGCUUAGCAGAGGUGCUUGAAGAAGGCCUCCACCUAAAGCCUCAGAGAAAGACACCUAGGAAUGAAGGUGCCUGGGCUUGGAAUGCAAAUGGCGGAAGAACUUGAUGGACCGUGAACAGAAAAUGUUCAGAGCAAUCAUCCUCUGAAAAUUCAUAUAAAUGACAGCAGAAAUACAAGAAGGAGAUUGGAUUUCAAUCCUCUUGGAAACAAUUGAUUUGGAAGUGGUCUGUGGUCUAAAGAUUUUGACAAAAUUUUAGGAGCAAGUAAAGAUGAUAUAAAUAUAUAAAGAGACAGAACAGAAGGGAGAUAGCCACAUUUCAGAAAACAUGGAGAAAUUAUACAAGUGAUUCUUCCCAGGAAAUUCUUCAGAAAUGUCCAAAGAAAAAAUUAUGGACUUACAAAUCUGACUGUGCGAUGACUGCAAAAUCCUCCUUUAUCUUCCUCUCCCUGACAUGCAUGCAAACACACACACACACACACACACACACACACACACCCUGAGAUUUGCAUCAUUUGUCUUUAGGCUAAAAUAAGGGAAAACAUUUCAAAAUGAUUUACCGAUUUUUUUAAAUGAUGGGCACAGUAACCAUAAUUAAGUCUUCCGUAUUUGGCAUUGGAAUGAAGGUAACGGGAUCAAACCCUUCUAUUUACUUCUCCUUACUCAUCCAAAGAUGCAGUCAACCAU